rnacentral:rRNA from 1 species
GGGCGCAAGCCUGAUGCAGCCAUGCCGCGUGUGUGAAGAAGGCCCUAGGGUUGUAAAGCACUUUCAGCGAGGAGGAAAGGUUAUAGUUUAAUAGACUAUAGCUGUGACGUUACUCGCAGAAGAAGCACCGGCUAACCUUCGUGCCAGCAGCCGCGGUAAUACGAGGGGUGCAAGCGUUAAUCGGAAUUACUGGGCGUAAAGCGUACGCAGGCGGUUUGUUAAGCGAGAUGUGAAAGCCCCGGGCUCAACCUGGGAACUGCAUUUCGAACUGGCAGACUAGAGUAUGAUAGAGGGUGGUAGAAUUUCAGGUGUAGCGGUGAAAUGCGUAGAGAUCUGAAGGAAUACCGAUGGCGAAGGCAGCCACCUGGGUCAAUACUGACGCUCAUGUACGAAAGCGUGGGGAGCAAACGGGAUUAGAUACCCCGGUAGUCCACGCCGUAAACGAUGUCUACUAGGAGCUGGGGUCUUCGGACAACUUUUCCAAAGCUAACGCAUUAAGUAGACCGCCUGGGGAGUACGGCCGCAAGGUUAAAACUCAAAUGAAUUGACGGGGGCCGCACAAGCGGUGGAGCAUGUGGUUUAAUUCGAUGCAACGCGAAGAACCUUACCUACACUUGACAUCCAGAGAAGAAACUAGAGAUUGGACUUUGUGCCUUU